GCACAAUGGGGGGAACCCUGAUGCAGCGACGCCGCGUGAGCGAAGAAGGUUUACGAAUCGUAAAGCUCUGUGCUAUGGGAAGAUAAUGACGGUACCAUAGGAGGAAGCCCCGGCUAACUACGUGCCAGCAGCCGCGGUAAUACGUAGGGGGCUAGCGUUGUCCGGAAUCACUGGGCGUAAAGGGUUCGCAGGCGGAAAAGCAAGUCAGGUGUGAAAGGCGAGGGCUUAACCCUCGUAAGCAUUUGAAACUGUUUUUCUUGAGAUGUGGAGAGGUAAGUGGAAUUCCUAGUGUAGCGGUGAAAUGCGUAGAUAUUAGGAGGAAUACCGGUGGCGAAGGCGACUUACUGGACACAAACUGACGCUGAGGAACGAAAGCGUGGGGAACAAACAGGAUUAGAUACCCUGGUAGUCCACGCUGUAAACGAUGAGUGCUAGGUGUCGGAGUAAUCUCGGUGCCGCAGUAAACACAAUAAGCACUCCGCCUGGGGAGUACGUACGCAAGUAUGAAACUCAAAGGAAUUGACGGGGACCCGCACAAGCAGUGGAGCAUGUGGUUUAAUUCGAAGCAACGCGA
rnacentral:rRNA from 1 species